ACUGGGCGUGGUGGUGCAUGCCUGUAAUCCCAGCAGCCAGGAGGCUGAGGCAGGAGGAUUACAAGUUCUCUGCAACAACUUAGAGAGGCCCUAAGCAACUCAGUGAGACCCUAUCUCUA
rnacentral:sRNA from 1 species